rnacentral:rRNA from 1 species
UACGGAGGGUGCGAGCGUUGUUCGGAAUUACUGGGCGUAAAGCGCGUGUAGGCGGCCUUCUAAGUCUGGUGUGAAAGCCCGGGGCUCAACCCCGGAAGUGCAUUGGAUACUGGGAGGCUGGAGUACCGGAGAGGAGGGUGGAAUUCCUGGUGUAGCGGUGAAAUGCGUAGAUAUCAGGAGGAACACCCGUAGCGAAGGCGGCACUCUGGGCCGGAACUGACGCUGAGGAGCGAAAGCGUGGGGAGCGAACAGG